rnacentral:rRNA from 1 species
CCGGCGAGUGGCGAACGGGUGAGUAAUAUAUCGGAACGUACCGAGUAAUGGGGGAUAACCAAUCGAAAGAUUGGCUAAUACCGCAUACGUCCUAAGGGAGAAAGCGGGGGAUCGCAAGACCUCGCGUUAUUCGAGCGGCCGAUAACUGAUUAGCUAGUUGGUGGGGUAAAGGCCUACCAAGGCGACGAUCAGUAGCGGGUCUGAGAGGACGAUCCGCCACACUGGGACUGAGACACGGCCCAG